rnacentral:rRNA from 1 species
AGUGAACGCUGGCGGUAGGCCUAACACAUGCAAGUCGAACGGCAGCACAGUAAGAGCUUGCUCUUACGGGUGGCGAGUGGCGGACGGGUGAGGAAUACAUCGGAAUCUACUUUUUCGUGGGGGAUAACGUAGGGAAACUUGCGCUAAUACCGCAUACGACCUACGGGUGAAAGCAGGGGAUCUUCGGACCUUGCGCGAUUGAAUGAGCCGAUGUCGGAUUAGCUAGUUGGCGGGGUAAAGGCCCACCAAGGCGACGAUCCGUAGCUGGUCUGAGAGGAUGAUCAGACAGACUGGAACUGAGAAACGGUCCAGACUCCUACGGGAGGCAGCAGUGGGGAAUAUUGGACAAUGGGCGCAAGCCUGAUCCAGCCAUACCGAGUGGGUGAAGAAGGCCUUCGGGUUGUAAAGCCAUUUUGUUGGGAAAGAAAAGCAGCAGGUUAAUACCCCGCUGUUCUGACGGUACCCAAAGAAUAAGCACCGGCUAACUUCGUG